UGUAGUCUCAGCGAUGAUGCAUACAUGUCCACUAUGGGUGUUGGGUCCAACAAUUCGCAUUGGUCUCAAACCAAUGACAUCCAUUUCGAAGACCAUGAGUUUGAGGUGGACGAGGAGGGUGAGGGAAUUGUCGAGGCGCCGAGAGGAAGAGCGGGCAAUUACUCCACCACCGAUGACAAGUUACUAUGCUACACUUAUUUGCAUGUGUCGAAGGAUCCAUCCAUUGGAGGUGAUCAAAGUAGAGACGCGUAUUGGAGGCAUGGGUGCACCUCCGGCCGCCAUGGGAGGCAUGGGUGGCUUUGGAGCACCCUCCGACGCUAUGGCCGCCAUGGGAGGCAUGAGUUUUGCUUCUCUCAUGGGAGGCAUGGGUGCACCUCCGGCCGCCAUGGGUGCACCUCCGGCCGUCAUGGCUUCUCACACACAUUCCCAUGA
rnacentral:rRNA from 1 species